GUGUCAGCAGCCGCGGUAAUACAGAGGUGGCAAGCGUUGUUCGGAAUUACUGGGCGUAAAGGGCGCGUAGGCGGCCUUCUAAGUCAGACGUGAAAUCCCCCGGCUUAACCUGGGAACUGCGUCUGAUACUGGGAGGCUAGAGUGCGGGAGAGGGAUGCGGAAUUCCAGGUGUAGCGGUGAAAUGCGUAGAUAUCUGGAGGAACACCGGUGGCGAAGGCGGCAUCCUGGACCGACACUGACGCUGAGGCGCGAAAGCUAGGGUAGCAAACGGGAUUAGAUACCCCCGUAGUCC
rnacentral:rRNA from 1 species